rnacentral:rRNA from 1 species
GAUGAACGCUUUCUUCUUUCCUAAUACAUGCAAGUCGAGCGAACAGAUGAGGAGCUUGCUCCUCUGACGUUAGCGGCGGACGGGUGAGUAACACGUGGAUAACCUACCUAUAAGACUGGGAUAACUUCGGGAAACCGGAGCUAAUACCGGAUAAUAUAUUGAACCGCAUGGUUCAAUAGUGAAAGACGGUUUUGCUGUCACUUAUAGAUGGAUCCGCGCCGCAUUAGCUAGUUGGUAAGGUAACGGCUUACCAAGGCAACGAUGCGUAGCCGACCUGAGAGGGUGAGCGGCCACACUGGAACUGAGACACGGUCCAGACUCCUACGGGAGGCAGCAGUAGGGAAUCUUCCGCAAUGGGCGAAAGCCUGACGGAGCAACGCCGCGUGAGUGAUGAAGGUCUUCGGAUCGUAAAACUCUGUUAUUAGGGAAGAACAAAUGUGUAAGUAACUAUGCACGUCUUGACGGUACCUAAUCAGAAAGCCACGGCUAACUACGUG